GAUGAACGCUGGCGGCGUGCUUAAUACAUGCAAGUCGAACGGAAAGGUCCUGCUUUUGUUCGUCUCUCGUGUGCCGCACGCGUGUGUAUCACGUGUGUAUCCUCUCCCUGUCUGUGUGAUAUCUUUAGGAAACUGCGGCUCAUACCGCAUAGGAUCUCCUGCUCCACGGUGGUCGAUGGAAAGAUUCGGCGGUUGGGGCUGGACUAGCGGGUUAUCAGCUUGUUUGUGGGGUUGGUGCUUACCAAGGUUACGACGGGUAGCCUGCCUGAGAGUGUGACCGGCGACAUUGGGACUGCGAUACGGACCAGACGCCUACGGGAGGCAGCAGUGGGGAAUAUUGCACAAUGGGCGGAAGCCUGAUGCAGCAACGCCGCGUGCGGGAUGACGGCCUUCGGGUUGUAAACCGCUUUCGCCUGUGACGAAGCGUGAGUGACGGUAAUGGGUAAAGAAGCACCGGCUAACUACGUG
rnacentral:rRNA from 1 species